rnacentral:rRNA from 1 species
GACCAAGAAGUCUAACAUGUGUGCGAGUCAUUGGGUAUUUUGUUGAAACCUAAGGGCGCAAUUAAAAUAACUAUUUUAUGGGAUUACAAGUGAAUUAAUUUUCAUUUCUUCAUCCCGGGGCGUUCUAUACGAACAUGGUGCAAGCAAUUGAACCCUCUGUUCAAGAGCGUACCUUGAGCAUACAUGCUGUGACCCGAAAGAUGGUGAACUAUACCUGAUCAGAUCGAAGCCAGGAGAAAUUCUGGUGGAGGAUCGAAACAGUUCUGACGUGCAAAUCGAUUGUCAGAAUUGGGUAUAGGGGCGAAAGACCAAUCGAACCAUCUAGUAGCUGGUUCCCUCCGAAGUUUCCCUCAGGAUAGCUGGCGCAAAGAAUUAUAUUAUAUAUAAUCUUAUCUGGUAAAGCGAAUGAUUAGAGGCCUUGGGGCCGAAACGACCUCAACCUAUUCUCAAACUUUAAAUGGGUAAGAACCUCAUCUUUCUUGAUCUGAAGAUAUUGGGGUUUAGAUAUAUUGUGCCCAGUGGGCCACUUUUGGUAAGCAGAACUGGCGCUGUGGGAUGAACCAAACAUGAUGUUACGGCGCCUAAAUUAAUGACUCAUAUUGAUACCAUGAAAGGCGUUGGUUGCUUAAAACAGCAGGACGGUGGACAUGGAAGUCGUAAUCCGCUAAGGAGUGUGUAACAACUCACCUGCCGAAGCAACUAGCCCUUAAAAUGGAUGGCGCUCAAGUCAUAUGCCUAUACAUCAUCGCUAGAAUAAAAAUUGUUGACCGUUUGGUCAUCAUUAUGAAAUUCUAGUGAGUAGGAGGGUACAAUGGUGUGCGCAGAAGUGUUUGGCGUGAGCCUGCAUGAAGCCGCCAUUGGCACAGAUCUUGGUGGUAGUAGCAAAUAAUCGAAUGAGAUCUUGGAGGACUGAAGUGGAGAAGGGUUUCGUGUGAACAGUGGUUGAUCACGAGUUAGUCGGUCCUAAGCUUUAUGCGAAAGCUGUUUAAUUUAUGUUACACACAAAACUUUUGUUGUACAUAAUUCAAUAAAAGCGAAAGGGAAUACGGUUCCAAUUCCGUAACCUGUUGAGUAUACGUUUGUUUAUUAAAAAUGGGUCUUAUUACACUCAUCCUGGCAACAGGAACGACCAUAGAGAAGCCUUCGAGAGAUACUGGAAGAGUUUUCUUUUCUGCUAAACAAACGUAUCACCAUGGAAGUCUUUUAUAGAGAGAUAUGGUGGAUGGCUUGGAAGAGCAUGACAUUUACUGUUGUGUCAGUAUUUUCUCCUUGGACCUUGAAAAUCUAUGGUGGGGCCACGCAAACUUCUCAACAGACCGUACCGAUAUCCGCAGCCGGUC